rnacentral:rRNA from 1 species
UGGGGAAUUUUGGACAAUGGGCGAAAGCCUGAUCCAGCAAUGCCGCGUGUGUGAAGAAGGCCUUCGGGUUGUAAAGCACUUUUGUCCGGAAAGAAAUCCUUGGCUCUAAUACAGUCGGGGGAUGACGGUACCGGAAGAAUAAGCACCGGCUAACUACGUGCCAGCAGCCGCGGUAAUACGUAGGGUGCAAGCGUUAAUCGGAAUUACUGGGCGUAAAGCGUGCGCAGGCGGUUUGCUAAGACCGAUGUGAAAUCCCCGGGCUCAACCUGGGAACUGCAUUGGUGACUGGCAGGCUAGAGUAUGGCAGAGGGGGGUAGAAUUCCACGUGUAGCAGUGAAAUGCGUAGAGAUGUGGAGGAAUACCGAUGGCGAAGGCAGCCCCCUGGGCCAAUACUGACGCUCAUGCACGAAAGCGUGGGGGAGCAAAACAGGAUUAGAUACCCUGGUAGUCCACGCCCUAAAACGAUGUCAACUAGUUGUUGGGGAUUCAUUUCCUUAGUAACGUAGCUAACGCGUGAAGUUGACCGCCUGGGGAGUACGGUCGCAAGAUUAAAAC